GAAAGAAUGAAAAGGUGAGCAACGGAUAAAGAGGACAAAGGAAAGAUUUCAGUAUAAACUUCUGCUGCAUUUAGGUUGAAAUACCUGUUGCUACAAACACUGAAGCUAACUGCUGGUAUCUACAAUAAACUCCACAGUAAAAAGCCCACACCACCUCAAGUUUAAGUGAACCAGGCACUUCCAAAGAACAUUUCACCUAUCUUCUGCAUUUAUCUUCAGAGAAGACAAACUACCUUUUGGUGAUAUAUCCCUCUCUUUGCAUUGACUACAAGUGGAGCCCUGGCAAGUGGCAGCUAAAUCUGGAUACCUUUCCAAUUGUUGCAUGGAGUGGACCUAUACCUGGCCAUGAAUCAUCCCUGCCCAGUGAAAGAGUUGUUGGCUGUCUAUUCCUGUUUUUUUUGUUGCAGCCAUUGGAAUGGGACUGCAGUAAGACAGCAAACAUGCUUCAUGUUUAAUGUAGCUGAAUGCUGCUUAGCUGUCAUGGAAUGUAUCUGUCCUUUGGCCACGGCACUCAGCAUGAAUUAACUGAAAGUUUUCAGAGGGAUUGAUAGUAUGUUACCCAUUUUCUGACUGUGCAGGAUAAAUCCCUUGUGUCUAAUCUGCCAAAGUACCCUGCACUCAGAGCUGCAACUGGAGUCAAUGGGAGACAGAACAUAAAUGCUAUAUAAUGCCUCCACAGCAGAACUUAGAUGAAAUUACCCAAGGCUUCAACCACACUGAAAACAAUUAAGAGGAAAAUUAAAAUAUUAGUGGCUAUCCACAGUUAUCACAAGUGAGAAAGUUUAUUUUGAGCAUUUUCUGCCUGUCAUCUGUGACUGAAAAAACAGGCUGAUUUCAAACCGUGAAACAGCACAUCAGUGAAAGAAGGGACUGUAUGAACAGCACAGCCUACACCACACAAGUAGGAGGCUAAUCUUCUCAGUUGGAAACUAGCUGGAGCAGCCAGGAUAUUAAAUCAGCAACACAAGGGGAGAUUAUUUGGAAGGCAAAUGAGGUACAUGCUCAAAUACAGCACCUAACGAGCAAGCUGAACCAAUGCGGCAAAGAAUAUAAUGAAAAGAAUCUCUUCAGUUGUUUAUGUAUUGAUCCUAGGAAUCUGGGUAAGCAGCAAGAGGAAACUCAUUGACGGGAAUAAAUUUUAUAUAACCAAUAUUACUAGAACGUGGUGGACAGCUGGUAUGUUAAAAUCCCUGAUUAACAGGAAGGAUAAGAGAGACAGAAUGGGAACAGGAUGCCUCAACAGCACCCCUCACCCCCCCCAUGCCAUUAUUCCUUUUAGAGUGAUCAGUAACAGGACCACAGCUCUUGAACACGUAGAGGUCAAUAUGCUAACUAAAAUAACUUAAGAAAGACUUACUGGUCAGCUAACUAGUAACUACAGAACAAGUUUUUCUUCAGCAUGUAUUUAUAAUCUUUAGAAAGGAAAAAAAAUGAUGCUAUAGGAGACCAGUCUAGGACACAUAUUCUGUGAGUCCUUUGUACAAUUAUAAACUGAUAUUACACACUGUCAAUAGACAUAUAUUAUUUAUGAGCAUGGGGUAAACGAUCUCAUUAUAACACAAGAGAUGUUAAUUACUAUACUGGAGAUUGAUAAAUACUUGGACGAUAAUAAACCACUUGAAUUCCACAUGGGAAAAAACAACCAGAAUCUUUAUAAGCAUAGAAAUUCUUUAACAAGUAUUUAAAGCACAUCAAAAUUGGGAGAAAAAAAGGAUAGAAGAAUAUCACAGAAAACUGGGGAGUCCUUUAUGGGUGGCUAUAAAAAAGAAUGACCUCACAACCAAGUGGAUGUAGACCUUUUUAAUGUAGAAAGUAAAUAAAAUAAACCUAUGACAAAAUGUCACAGAAGUACAGCAGAAAAAAAAGCAGAAAUAAAUUCUUAAAAGUAGAAGUUCUGAAAUUAUGCCGAUUGAUAGGAGUAGCCAAAAGAAUCAAUGAAAAAUGUAUCAGUGACAGGACUACAGAUAAAAAGGAUUUCUCAUUGUGAGAGGAACAGUAAAUGCAUAAGCCCACUCCAAGUUUGGAGCACCUAAACCAGAAACGUAAUGCAAAAAAACCUCAAAUAGGAGUGUUCAGUACAUAAGAAGUCUGUAUUUGGAAAAAACAGGAUGCUAUAGUUACAGUAUAUGUAUAAUUAUUAAGCACUUUCAGUUUAUGAGAAAUCAAGGAGGAAUAAGUUUUACGUUUACAGAUUCAGACAAUUUUCACUUUAGGUGUUGCAGGGUUGCUAAAAUACCAGGACGUUCCCAGACUGGAAGAGCACAUAAUAAUGUGUCAAGAUUAAAAAAAAUAUUAAAAAACCCCACUAGUGGUACUAGAACUGGGCCAUAUAAGUGAAAACACUGGAUUCAAUUAAUACAGAUUUUAAUGAAAGACUAUAAUUAUUACCAAUCAACAUGUUUUUAGUAAAAUGGGUCUUCCACACAAUCUGAUUUCCUUCUUGGAUGAGAUUAGAAGGGGACGUCGUACAGUGAUUAUUUAGGCUUUCACUUGUCAGAUGUAACAUUGAUUAAAAAAAAAUUACUAUGCACCAUCAAGAAGAAACUUAAGUGUGUUCUGAAUGGGCUAAAAGUUAAAAAACCACAAAUCUCUCCAUGUUCCAAGAGGCAAUUGUCACUGAGUAAUACUAGAAUACCGACAAGGUUGCACAGGUAUCAGUACCAGCAUACUCUUACUCAACGUAUCCUUCAAUUAUUUGGAACCAGGUAGACCCAGCUAGUAAUGUUCAUGAACAACAAAGUAAGUAAAUAAUGAUGACAAAACAAUGUUCUGGGUCACUUGGUGGGGUAUUCAAAUCAAGGGUAUUUUAAUAAAACCAAAUGCAAAACUAAGUGUAAGAACAGUGAAUACAGGCUACACUUAAAGGAAGAG